rnacentral:misc_RNA from 1 species
GAUGAAGAACGUAGCGAAAUGCGAUAAGUAGUGUGAAUUGCAGAAUUCAGUGAAUCAUCGAAUCUUUGAACGCACAUUGCGCCUCCUGGUAUUCCGGAGGGCAUGCCUGUCUGAGCGUCAUUGUCAACCCUCAAGCUCAGCUUGCUGUUGGGUCCCCGUCGUUGCUUUAACGGCGGACCCGAAAGGUAAUGGCAGAGUCCGUGAGACCCUAGACGCAGCGAGCUUCUAGCACGCGUCUGGACGUUUUUCGGGCUCGGUCUUAAACUAGAUGAUAACUUCCGAUUGACCUCAGAUCAGGUAGGGAUACCCGCUGAACUUAAGCAUAUCAAUAAGCGGAGGA